rnacentral:rRNA from 1 species
AACGAACGCUGGCGGCAGGCUUAACACAUGCAAGUCGAGCGCCCCGCAAGGGGAGCGGCAGACGGGUGAGUAACGCGUGGGAACGUACCCUUUGCUACGGAAUAGCUCCGGGAAACUGGAAUUAAUACCGUAUGUGCCCUUCGGGGGAAAGAUUUAUCGGCAAAGGAUCGGCCCGCGUUGGAUUAGCUAGUUGGUGGGGUAAAGGCCUACCAAGGCGACGAUCCAUAGCUGGUCUGAGAGGAUGAUCAGCCACAUUGGGACUGAGACACGGCCCAAACUCCUACGGGAGGCAGCAGUGGGGAAUAUUGGACAAUGGGCGCAAGCCUGAUCCAGCCAUGCCGCGUGAGUGAUGAAGGCCUUAGGGUUGUAAAGCUCUUUCACCGGUGAAGAUAAUGACGAUAACCGGAGAAGAAGCCCCGGCUAACUUCGUGCCAGCAGCCGCCGCCGAAA